rnacentral:rRNA from 1 species
UACAGAGGGUGCAAGCGUUGUUCGGAAUUAUUGGGCGUAAAGCGCGUGUAGGCGGCUUAGCAAGUCGGGUGUGAAAGCCCUCAGCUUAACUGAGGAAGUGCGCCCGAAACUACUGAGCUUGAGUACCGGAGAGGAUGGCGGAAUUCCCGGUGUAGAGGUGAAAUUCGUAGAUAUCGGGAGGAACACCAGUGGCGAAGGCGGCCAUCUGGACGGAUACUGACGCUGAGACGCGAAAGCGUGGGGAGCAAACAGG